AUUCUAAACUCUAAACCUUAUACAUUAGGGCCUAAAAUUUAAAUCCUAAACUCUAGUCUUAGGGCCUAAACCCAAAACCCUAAGCCUUUGGGCCUAAACGCUAAACCCUAAACCUUAGGACAUAAACCCUUAAAUCAUUAACAAUAAACUUUAAGCUUUAGUGCCAAAACCCUAAACCUUAGGGUCUAAACCCUAAACCAUAAACCAUAAAUUAUGAAAUCUAAGCCUUAGUGCAUAAACUAUAAAACUUAGGGCCUAAACUGUAAACCC
rnacentral:lncRNA from 1 species